rfam:Toxocara canis scaffold59, whole genome shotgun sequence.
GCGGCAAUAGCUCAGUAGUAGAGCUCCCGCUUCGCGUGCUGGGAGACCCGGAUUCGAUUCCCGGCUGCUUCC